rnacentral:rRNA from 1 species
ACGUGCUCGCCUCGCCGUCCAUUCUUCAACACCUGUGCACACUUCAAAGUAAUCGUUCUGUCCCAUCCCGCUUGUACGGGGGAGUUGUGAAAAAGGGAUCAUUAAUUUGGUUUCUCUUUUUAUAGCUUUCCAAAGAGAGGGUAAGACGUUANAAGAACGAUCUUUGCCUUAUAACAUACCCUUCUUUUAAAAAUGUUUAUGAACGUCAAAAAAAACAAAAAAAAUGUAGGCUCGCCUUAAAAACGUGUAGCUGAAAUUAUAAAAUUAUACAACUUUUAACAACGGAUCUCUUGGCUCUCGCAUCGAUGAAGAACGCAGCGAAAUGCGAUAAGUAAUGUGAAUUGCAGAAUUCAGUGAAUCAUCGAAUCUUUGAACGCACCUUGCGCUACCCUGGUAUUCCGGGGAGCAUGCCUGUUUGAGUGUCAUUAAAUUCUCAACUUCGAAUCGUUUGUUUACAGACUUUACGAGGCUUGGACUUUGGAGUGUGCCGGUCUCUAACGAGAUCGACUCCUCUUUAAAUGCAUUAGCUGGAACCUCUUGUGGACCAGACUACGGUGUGAUAAUUAUCUACGCUGUUGGUCUUGUGAAGCACUUUAUUGUUACGAGGUUCUGCUUCUAAUCGUCCUUUACUGCGACAAUGAGGGUUUUA